GCACCCGUAGUUCAGUGGAUAGAACAUUCGGUUGCGGUCCGAAAGGUCGGAGGUUCGACUCCUCCCGGGUGCGCCA
rnacentral:tRNA from 1 species